rnacentral:rRNA from 1 species
UACGUAGGAUCCAAGCGUUGUCCGGAUUUACUGGGUGUAAAGGGUGCGUAGGCGGACUUGUUAGUCAGAGGUGAAAUCUCACUGCUCAACAGUGAAACUGCCUUUGAUACUGCAGGUCUUGAAUCCAGAAGAGAGUUGUGGAAUUCCGAGUGUAGCAGUGAAAUGUGUAGAUAUUCGGAAGAACACCAGCGGCGAAGGCAGCAACUUGGUCUGGUAUUGACGCUCAGGCACGAAAGCAUGGGGAUCAAACAGG